rnacentral:rRNA from 1 species
AGGACGAACGCUGGCGGCGUGCUUAACACAUGCAAGUCGAGCGGUAAGGCCUUUCGGGGUACACGAGCGGCGAACGGGUGAGUAACACGUGGGUGAUCUGCCCUGCACUCUGGGAUAAGCCUGGGAAACUGGGUCUAAUACCGGAUAUGACCUGCUCUCGCAUGGGGGUGGGUGGAAAGAUUUAUCGGUGCAGGAUGGGCCCGCGGCCUAUCAGCUUGUUGGUGGGGUAAUGGCCUACCAAGGCGACGACGGGUAGCCGACCUGAGAGGGUGACCGGCCACGACUGGGACUGAGACACGGCCCAGACUCCUACGGGAGGCAGCAGUGGGAAUAUUGCACAAUGGGCGAAAGCCUGAUGCAGCGACGCCGCGUGAGGAUGAAGGCCUUCGGGUUGUAAACCGUCUUUCAGCACAGACGAAGUUUUGCGUUUUUUGGUGUAAGUGUACGUAUGUGCAGAAGAAGACGCCAACUACGUGCCAGCAGCCGC